AUAAUUAUGCAACGAUAUUUUUGUUUGGCUUUUUUUAUUGCGGUACUUUUUUUACUAAAAAGGGACAACGUUUUUUUUAUUCAAAUUGUUAGAGUACGUCGAUACAAUACAAAUUCACUAAAAACAAAAAUGAUAAAUUUGCGAACAAACUCAUAACAUUCAUGUUCAUAACCUAAAAUGGUAAAAUACAUAAGCCUACAAAUAUGACUAUAUUCGGUUGUUUGGAAUAGCCAUAUCUCAGAAUUUGUAAUGAAAAUGUACUUGAUCGAAGCUAAUCUGAAGCCAUAUCUCAGGAAUAGACAUUGAUUGGAUCUGCACUUGAUCGAAAUUGAUUUGACAAUCUGAAGUAAUCUAACACCACAACAAGACGACGAGAAAACAAAACAAAACCACACCAAGACGGCGAACAUCACACUAAGAUGAAGAAAUCACAAAAAUAACUAAAUAUAUUAAAAGAUCACAUAUUUAAAUAAAAAAGAAAACAAAAUGAUUAAAAUGGGUGAUUUCUGAUCAAAUUUACGGCUAAACCAACUACCUUUGGUGAUAGAUGAAGUUGAGUACUUAGGGUUAUGGAUGGUUGCAGAUGCAAGACACACACACACACACAGAGAGAGGGGAGAGAGAGAGAGAGAGAGAGAGACUUAGGGCUCAGGGUCAUCACUGAAAUAC
rnacentral:lncRNA from 1 species